UUUUUAUUUACGCAGGCAUUUACAAGCAUGUACAGAAUUUCCUUCUGAAAUAAAAUACAUCAUUUUCAUUUUAAUCACAGUCUUGUAAUAUGCAUUUCUGGCUAUAAUAAGAUGUAGAUGGACAGCGUUCCUGCUACAUGAUCCUGAAGGUGAUCUGAAGGUUAGAAUGAGUCAGGGAAAUUAGUCUGAAAUGAUGCCUUAUUUCUGAUGAGCAUCUAAUUCCUUUUUCCUUUUUAUCUAUAUCCAUUUCUGGAGAUUUUGAAAUUAAGACUAAUAUUUCUGCUUAUAGAGAACUUUUUCCCCAAAGUUUAAGAAACAAGCAAUGCUACUUUGGAGCAAACAGCAACAUGAUGUCUCAUGCUUUGGAGCAAAUGCACGGAAGGAGCAGGCACUCACACCGAACUGCAAAUCAGCUGCAUUGGUUUUAAUCUUGACUACGCACUACUGACAAACCUGCAGUAAAGAAAUACUAUGGAAGGAUGAGACUGAGUUCUGCAGCUUCCUUAAAAAAAAAAAAAGGAGACAAACCACAGAAGGCGGAGUUGCACAACAGCCUGACUGCUUCCAGAUAAAGGAGUAGAAAAUACAUUCAGUGGCAAUGAAUUAACUUGAAUAUCUUUUAAAAAAUGAUAGUAUCGGAUGAGUAGAAGAAAAGGUGUUGGCUUUUUUUUUUUUUUUUUUUAGGUUAUGGAGAGACAACAGAACGAAGAGGACUGGGCAGAUAAUGCAAUGCGGUUGGUUGGAACUAUUAAAAACUAUUUGUCAGUUUAAUGGGGUUUCUCUUGAUGAGUGUGAGAAGGACCUGCAGCGACAGAGAAGAUAUCUGCAUACAGAAAUCCAAAUGAUCUUCAGCAAUGCCGUGGUCACAGUGAUGCUGCAAGACCAUGACAUGCAAAUGUGGUGGAAUUUGCUGCAUUGCUUUUUUUUCACUUUUCUAUUUCCAAGCUUAAGAUUAGCAUUAGGUCUUCACUAACUGGCUCCACGCCAAUGAAAUGCAUUUAGAAAACACUUUGAGAAAAGAAUUUAAAGGCUAUCACCUGUAAAUUUCAAGGUCAGAAUAUUCAUCACCGUCCUUUGAAAUGCUCCCUGUGUUGGUAUUGCAGGUUAUGUCUGAAAUUUUGCCAGGUUUGAAGUCUGUAUGUUUUAGAAUUACAAAAUAAAGCAAACAAAACUCCCCCA
rnacentral:lncRNA from 1 species